GAUGAAUGCUGGCGGCGUGCCUAACACAUGCAAGUCGAGCGGUAACGGGCCUUCGGGUGCCGACGAGCGGCGGAUGGCUGAGUAACGCGUGGGAACAUACCCCAAAGUGAGGGAUAACCGCCCGAAAGGGUGGCUAAUACCGCAUAUGGUCUUCGGAUUAAAGGAUUUAUCCGCUUUGGGAACGGCCUGCGUACGAUUAGAUAGUUGGUGAGGUAAUGGCUCACCAAGUCGACGAUCGUUAACUGGUUUGAGAGGAUGAUCAGUCAGACUGGAACUGAGACACGGUCCAGACUCCUACGGGAGGCAGCAGUGAGGAAUCUUCCACAAUGGGCGAAAGCCUGAUGGAGCAACGCCGCGUGCAGGAUGAAGGCCUUCGGGUUGUAAACUGCUUUUAUAAGUGAAGAAUAUGACGGUAACUUAUGAAUAAGCACCGGCUAACUACGUGCCAGCCGCCGCGGUAACA
rnacentral:rRNA from 1 species